rfam:Triticum aestivum genome assembly, contig: Triticum_aestivum_CS42_TGACv1_scaffold_210436_3AS
AAUCUACUUCCUCCGUUCCGAAUUACUUGUCGCUGGUAUGGAUGUAUCUAGAUAUAUUUUAGUUUUAGAUACAUCCAUUUCUGCGACGAGAAAUUUGGAACGAAAGGAGUAUAGG